CGCCGCGGUUAUACGAGAGGCCCAAGUUGACGGAACUCGGCGUAAAGGGUGGUUAAUAGAUACUUAACUAAAGUCGAAUGCCUACAGGGCUGUUAUAAGCGUACGAAGGCCAGAAGCACACCAACGAAAGUGACUUUAAUACUUAUGACCCCACGUAAGCUAGGGAA
rnacentral:rRNA from 1 species